ACUUAACAUAACAUAAAUGAGCAUUGGAAUUUAAUAAGUGAUGUUCAAUUAUCACUUACGAAUAUACUGCAUAUAUGACUUUAUGCAUUGAAUAACAUCAACUAUCACAUAUACAUUGACAAAUGAAGUUUCCAAUUUAGCUUGCAACAAGUUU